CAUGUGGUUUAAUUCGAUGAUACGCGAGGAACCUUACCUGGGCUCGAACGUAAGAUGACUGUAGGUGAAAGCUUACAUCUCUUCGGAGCAUUUACGAGGUGCUGCAUGGUUGUCGUCAGCUCGUGCCGUGAGGUGUCGGGUUAAGUCCCAUAACGAGCGCAACCCCUACCUUAGUUGCCAUCAGGUUAAGCUGGGGACUCUAAAGGAACUGCCUACGCAAGUAGUGAGGAAGGCGGGGAUGACGUCAAAUCAGCACGGCCCUUACGUCCAGGGCUACACACGUGCUACAAUGGCCGAUACAGAGGGCAGCUACCUGGUGACAGGAUGCAAAUCUCCAAAGUCGGUCUCAGUUCGGAUCGGAGUCUGCAACCCGACUCCGUGAAGUUGGAUUCGCUAGUAAUCGCGCAUCAGCCAUGGCGCGGUGAAUACGUUCCCGGGCCUU
rnacentral:rRNA from 1 species